rnacentral:lncRNA from 1 species
AAGAAGGCCCAGCCAUCAGGCAGCAUUCUUCAAACAGAUACUCAGAGACUCCUUGUAUUUGGAUGUUAGUGUGAGCAUGAGGAAUGCUUCAGAGAUGGUCAGCAGCCACUCUGGUCUCCCAUUUGCAUAGUUCAGUCACGAUGUGGGAUCCAGAAUGGUAGAUCUGGAAGCAGAGUUUGAAAACCCAUACUCUCUGUUUCAGUUCAUCUCCCUGUCAGUAUCUUUGCGCCAGAGUAGAUAAUACAAGAGAGGCUAAGACAGAAUGAAAGAAACCCAUUGAUUGAGAGGAAACGGUGACCUUCAUUCAUCCUAAGAAAUGUAGCUUCUUUAGCAAAACUCAUAUUUUGUGUUUGAAAUCUCUUAUCUACGUCAGCAGCAUCUACUCAGUCAUCUGAAAUCCAUCAAACACUUCUAAAGCCAUCUUCCUUUAAACAUAGGUAAGUGAGUUUGGUUCCACUGGCUUCAGCUGAAGAAAGGAUACUUAUUAAUUCUGCUUCUCCACUUGAGAAUGAUUAAUUAUUGAUUCCUAAAAUCUGUUGCAUAUUCGUCUCACCUGCGAGGCUUUUAGCACUCCUGAGGCCCAGGUAAUUCCCCAAACCAAUUAAACCAUGUUGUCUGGGAAUAGCACCCAGGCAUCAGUAGUUCUUUUAAAGCUUCCAGGUGAUUUAGUGAGCAGUGUUUUAACAAGCAAGUUUGAGAACCAGUGAUUGACGGAUCAUUUCUAGGAAGUCCUAUCAAAAUAGUCAUCUCCUCUGUUUUGUUGAGGAAUUGGAUCAGUCAAGACCCAUCUAGAAAUUGGAAACCAUUCUAGUCCUCUCAAAUUAAAAAGUGAUUACACAGUUGUUGGAAGACCUGGAGAACAAAAAGAGGACUCAAGAAACUGAAGAAUUAGUAAUUACAGGAAGCAGCUACGGCUUCUGAGUCUAGGGAAAAAAAGGAAGAGGUGGGGUUAUAAGAACCUAAUAGCUGAGACGAAGGGGCCUAACAGAGGUGGUGCUCAGACCUCUGUAGAGGGGGCAUUUCUCAAUGCUUCUGUUAGCUGUGGGGGACACAGUCAGGGUGGCUCUGAAAAUGACAAAAAAUAGGAAUUUGGAGAUUAAAGCUCACUGCUCUUCCAGAGCAGCACUGAUGGGGACAGCAGAAACAGGAAGUAAAUACCUGCUCCACUACUCCCACUUGCCAAAGCUUUCUUUAAUGCCCGCUGUCUGACCUAACUUGAAGCCAGCUCACAAUGAAAUGAAUACCAACGAUAGAAUCAGAACAGAGAAUAGAGGGUUUAAUCUACUGCCGAGAAACAAUAGAUAAAUAAUCUUCGCUGAAAAAAGCAACCUUUUUU